GUGGGGAAUAUUCCGCAAUGGACGAAAGUCUGACGGAGCAACGCCGCGUGAGUGAUGAAGGUUUUCGGACUGUAAAGCUCUGUUGUUUGGGACGAAAGUGCCUGUUGCGAACAGUUACGGGUAUUGACGGUACUAAACGAGGAAGCCACGGCUAACUACGUGCCAGCAGCCGCGGUAAUACGUAGGUGGCAAGCGUUGUCCGGAAUUAUUGGGCGUAAAGAGCAUGUAGGCGGGAAUCUAAGUCUGUUGUUAAAAUGCGGGGCUCAACCCCGUAUUGCGAUGGAAACUGGGUUUCUUGAGUGCAGGAGAGGAAAGGGGAAUUCCUAGUGUAGCGGUGAAAUGCGUAGAUAUUAGGAGGAACACCAGUGGCGAAGGCGGCUUGCUGGACGACAACUGACGCUGAGGCGCGAAAGCGUGGGGAGCAAACAGGAUUAGAUACCCUAGUAGUCC
rnacentral:rRNA from 1 species